ensembl:snoRNA small nucleolar RNA SNORD37
CCAGAGGAUGACUUAAACUUUCUUCACUUUGACCUGAUUGUUCUGUGAUGAGAGCUUUCAGUCUGAUG